ACCAGGGAUGAUAUUCCUUUGGUGUGGAAGUUGGAUGAAAAGAACACAUAUGGUAGACAGGCAUGUGUUUGAGCCUUAUUAUGUAUCAAUUGUGUUGGUGUCAGAACUGAAAAGGUCACUUGUUCGUUGAAAAAGGUAUGGGUCGCUGGAGCUAAUCAUUCCUCUUGUCCAUGCUGGUCAUAAAGUGUUCACUCAAGCAAUCACUUCAGUGCAACUCUGCUGUAAGAAAUAGAAGACAAAAUCCAGUCCUCAUUUCAUGCAGAAAUGCAUUCUAACGUUAAGACAAAGCAAGUGGGUAUCUUCCAGAGUUCCAGUCCUUUUAGUACAAAUUUCCCUCUAUUUGUUAUUAUCUGUCCACUGCAGCUCAGCAAGAAAGCACUGUUUGGCAAAACACAAAGCGUGAAUUUCAUCCUAAAAAUAGAAAUUUUGGAAGACACCCACUUGAUUUUGCUACUCAGACUACUGAAGCCUCAUUUUAACUUUGGGAAGCAGUUUUGCACAGACCGAGGACUGAUUUUGUGCCACAUCUCUUUCAUUUGAGUCGCGUUUGGAAGGCAUCAUUUCACAGCCACAGUAUGGAAAGGAGGAAUGUUUACAGUGACCAAUGACUCUUUCAAUGGACAUAUGGACACAGUAUCAAUCUCAAUCCACACACUGCUUGGAGGGUGGAGCAGUGGUCUGGUUUCCACGUGUUCUGGGACAAGUUUGCAGCCGACCCGUGGGAUUUCCUCCCAGUGCUUCAACACGUCGGUGCCAUGAAGACACGGUUCUCCACCUUCACCCUUCCUCCAGGGCCGUAGUGAGGCCCAUCCAGUUUGCCAUCCUUGCACAGCUUAGCCAGGAUUUGUGUGGGUUUCAUUGGGUCCCGCCA